GCGGUGGGAAGAAGUAUUUAGGUAUGUAACCCCCUGUGGCCAGGGGACGAAUUUUGACGGUACCCUGCUAGAAAGCACCUGCUAACUACGUCCCAGAAGCCUCGGUAAUACGUAGGGUGCAAGCGUUAUCCGGAUUUACUGGGCGUAAAGCGUUCGUAGGCGGAAUAGUAAGUGACAGGUUAAAGCCCAGGGCUCAACUCUGGAAAAGCUCGUCAUACUGCUAAUCUGGAAUCAGUUUGGGGAAGUUGGAAUUCUCGGUGGAGGGGUGAAAUCCGUUGAUAUCGAGAGGAACGCCAAGGGUGAAGACAGGCUUCUAAGACUGUAUUGACGCUGAGGGACGAAAGCUAGGGUAGCAAAGCGGAUUAGAGACCCGUGUAGUCCUAGCUGUAAACGAUGGUUACUAGCUGGCUGGAACUUGUUCUGGCUGGCGUAAGCUAACGCGUUAAGUAACCCGCCUGGGGAGUACGACCGCAAGGUUAAAACUCAAAGGAAUUGACGGGGGAGCGCACAAUCGGUGGAUCAUGUGGUUUAAUUCGAUACAAACCGAAGAACCUUACCCAGACUUGACAUAUACCUGCUAAUCCUAUGAAAGUAGGACUCUUUCGAAGGUGGUAUACAGGUGCUGCAUGGUUGUCGUCAGCUCGUGUCGUGAGAUGUCCGCUUAAGUGCGGUAACGAGCGCAACCCACGCCGUGUGUUACAUAUCACGCGGGACUGCUGCGCAACAAGCGCGGAGGAAGGAGUGGACGAUGUCAAAUCAGCAUGGCCCUUACGUCUGGGGCUACACACAUGAUACAAUGGGACAGACAGUAGGUUGCGACAGCGCAAGCUUGAGCUAAUCCCUAAACUGUUCCUCAGUUCAGAUUGCAGGCUGAAACCCGCCUGCAUGAAGUCGGAAUCGAUAGUAAUCGCGUGUCAGCAUAGCGCGGUGAAUACGUUCUCGCUCCUUGUACACACUGCCCGUCAAGCCAGCGAAGUCGGCAGUGCCCGAAGUCUCCGCAAUUAAGUUGGGGCCUAAGGCAAGGUCGGCGACGAGGACUAAGUCGUAACAAGGUAUCCGUACUGGAAGGUGCGGCUGGAUCACCUCCU
rnacentral:rRNA from 1 species